GUCCACGCCGUAAACUAUGAUUACUCGCUGUUGGCGAUAUAUUGUCAGCGGCUGAGCGAAAGCAUUAAGUAAUCCACCUGGGGAGUACGAUCGCAAGGUUGAAACUCAAAGGAAUUGACGGGGGCCCGCACAAGCGGAGGAACAUGUGGUUUAAUUCGAUGAUACGCGAGGAACCUUACCUGGGCUUAAAUGUAGAGCGACAGACUGGGGAAACUGGUCCUUCUUCGGACGAUCUACAAGGUGCUGCAUGGUUGUCGU
rnacentral:rRNA from 1 species